CGGAAGGGUGAUAGGUGGUGUUGGGAAGUGUGCGCGUGUGCGAAAAGGCACCGGGGGUGGUUGGUCGGUGGUCCGUAACUCCUAAAAAUCGCACGAUUCGUGGCUCUUUACUAUUUUCCGGUAGUCGAACAAACACCGUUGUUGCUCUCUCACUUGUCUCGUUUCGUGCACAAAAGAGAUCGAAAAAGGAAAAAAAAAAACGUGUGUUCUGUGUCGAUUUUUUUUUAUUUUUCAUUAUUUUAAUUGGCAAAGCAUCAACAUUUUUUCCCCCCCAAUUGAGGAAAAAAGUGCUGGACUAGAGGAAUUGAAAGAAACGAACGAACAGCCGGUGAUUUAAUGCACGUAUUUUAAAGUUGUACAGGCAAAAGUACCGGGAAAAAGAGUCUGGGUUAACUAUAAGGUUACGAGGCUGGAGGCGCACAAAAACGCACGCGGUGUCUAAAAAUGGCGAAGGCAUUUCGCGCGGUGACAGUAUCGACUUUGUCAAACAAUGGACAGUCAACGCCGAAAUACGACAAACCAGUUGGGCUCAAUAUCAACUAUGAUCCACAAGGAAUCAGCAUCGAAUUGAUAUCAGAAGAGCCAACCGAGAAGCAGCCAAAGCAAUUAUUGGAAUUUCCCGUAACUCAUACCACAGAAUGUUCUCGUGUAGCGACAAAAAGUUACGUAUUCACGUUAGACACCGAGAGUAUCCUCUUGACGUUCUCCACCGAGUCAGAUUUUCGAGGCUUUCACUCACAAAUUCUAAAGCUCAAAAAUGGAAAGGGUGUCUCGGUAUUCAACGAGAGAACCGAAGAUCUCUCAGCAAUGCAGUAUUUCCAAUUUUACGGUUAUUUAUCGCAACAACAAAACAUGAUGCAGGACUACAUAAGAACGAGUACAUACCAACGGGCAAUACUGGGAAAUUUAUCGGAUUUCAAAGAUAAAAUUGUUCUCGAUGUUGGGGCAGGCUCAGGGAUUCUAUCAUUCUUUGCGGUUCAGGCUGGAGCGAAAAAAGUUUAUGCCGUUGAGGCAAGUAAUAUGGCUAAUCAUGCAGAAUGGCUCGUGGCUGCUAAUAACCUGUCAGAUAAGAUCGUUGUCAUUGCUGGGAAAAUUGAGGAGAUUGAGUUACCCGAGCACGUUGAUUGUAUCGUCAGUGAGCCAAUGGGAUAUAUGCUGUACAAUGAAAGGAUGUUGGAGACUUAUCUCCAUGCUAAAAAGUGGCUAGUUCCAGGAGGACGCAUGUUCCCGUCAAGGGGAGACCUCCAUAUAGCCCCAUUCUCCGAUGAAACACUCUACAUGGAGCAAUUCAACAAGGCUAACUUUUGGUAUCAAACAUGUUUCCACGGUGUCGACCUUUCCUCACUACGCAAUAGUGCUAUGAAAGAAUACUUCCGGCAACCAAUUGUUGAUACAUUUGAUAUUCGUAUUUGUAUGGCCAAAUCCGUCAGACACGUUGUAGACUUCCAAACUGCUGACGAGACUGAUUUACACAAAAUAGAAAUAGAUGUUGAUUUUCAUAUACUCGAGAGUGGAACCUGUCACGGUCUAGCCUUUUGGUUUGACGUUGCAUUUAUCGGUUCCACUCAGCAAGUUUGGUUGAGUACAGCACCCACUGAGCCACUUACCCACUGGUACCAGGUCCGUUGUCUCUUGGAGAAUCCAUUAUUCUGCAAGAGCGGUCAAUUGCUCUCAGGGAAGGUCAUACUGGUAGCUAACACAAGACAAUCCUACGACGUAACAAUAGAUUUAAAACUCGAGGGAACGAAUAUGGAGAGUAGUAGCAAUACGUUGGAUCUCAAAAAUCCUUACUUCAGGUAUACUGGUGCUGUUGCUCAAUUACCAUCCGGUUUAAAUAGUACAUCACCGAGUGAAUCCUACUGGACAACACUGGAUGCACAGGGAGCACGUCAAGCUGUCAAUAUGGUCAACGGAAUGUCAGUGAAUGGUCUGGGUGAAGUGUCAAUGGACACAUCUGGUGCUGUCAAUCCUAGUAAUUUACUAGCUCUAGGGGGUCAGCCAAAUAUACAUCCGGGCUCAAUAUCGAGCACUGGAAGAGGUAGAAUUGGUGGUACAGCGACAAGUACCCAAGCUGCACAGCUUAUUGGUGGUGGAAUAACACCCAAUAUGUUCACAUCACCAGCAACUAUCAAUAUGUUGUCUACCAUCGAAUUUUAUCUAAAUUUUCUGGCUACCUAAAAUACUAUAGUAAUUGGACAAAACGUACAGAGCCCACGCUGAGCAAUAAAACUCGUAACACUUUCAAGGACUAUUGAAUCAGAUUUGAAGAAAAAAGCCUUCAAUUAGCAUUGAAAAAGUCAACAAUCGCUGGUACUUGGAAAUACAUCUCACUAUCCAGUGAAUCCAAGUUUGAUGAUUGGUGACUACGUGACACCUGGUAAUGGAAUAGCACCACAGGCAUAUCGACAAUGAUCCAUGGCUAAAUCACAACGUAUUGACUAUACACGUAAGACAAAGCAAUCGCCUGGAAUGACUAAUAAUCGUCCAGCAUUGAUUGCUAACAGUAAUAAUUGUAAUAUUAAUCGACAAGAUCGUAGAUUUGUAUUUAGUACACCAGCCAGUAAGUUACGGUUGUCAUCAGCAGUGACAAUUCUACAUUCAACUAAUGAUGAAUUUCCCCGUAAAUUAUCGGCUAGAUGUGCUAAGAUCGAUGAUAUCGGGUUACGAUGGAUUUCGGGGAAAAGUUACAAUCAUUUGUGGGAAAAUCGUUGGAAAAGAUUCCACGUUAUACUCUCAUAGCGAAAUCCCUUGUUAUCAAUAAUAAGAGGAAAUAGUUGGUCAUCAGUAUUGAAGGAAUAAAGACAUCCCUUAAAUCCAUCUCUCACGAAAAAAAUGAGAUAAAUACCACGAAAAAUAAUUGAAUAGCGACCGUGAAUUGAAGGGAAAUUAAUCCAUUAAUAAGAGCAUGCCAAAAUCCAUCGGGAGAAAUACGAUAUUUUUUAAUGACAAUACUAUUUAAUCAUUCGCAAUGUCCCCUGUAGAAUUAUACGAAAAAAAAUCCCUUUGAAUGCUCUUAUACUUUUAAUACCUCUUUACCCUGUGAUCAUUCACGACCGUUUGGUAAAAUCUCUUGGAAUGCUAUUUUUUUUCUUUUGGAUUUUAUCUCAUUUCUUAUUUCCAUUUGACUAGGUGCAGUUUAAAAAGUUUUUAGGUCGAGUAAAGUUGAAUGGCUUUGACGACAUUUUAAGUUGAAUCUGUGCUCGAUGUCGACGAUAUUUAUACGACCUCUUAGAAUAGAGUAUUUUUAAGAAAAAUGAAGAAAAAAAAAAAUUGUGGAUUAUGUAAAGGGAUGAUGCAGUGCUAGCAGCGGUUUAUAAUCUUUUUGGUGUGAAUGUUUAAAGCACUGUGGCAUUGCCUGUCGAUUUAUUUUUUUAUCACAUUAAAGAAUUGAGCCAUCAAACUGCGCCCUCGCGAUGCUUGCGCAGUCAUUUCGACUGGUCCUUUGAAAUUUUUUUUGAAAUUCAUUCCUCGAGUAUAGAAUAUUGAAGAGUCAUGACGCAAAUUUAUUAAGAUGACGCAUGUAACAUGAUUUCAGUUAAAUGUAUCUGAAUUUCUGCAAAAAUAUCGAUACGAUUUGUUUUUUUUGACUAUUGAAUUGCAACGAAUUAGAAGCGAAACACUACUUUGUAUCGUAAAUUGUACAUAUAAUAAAAUAAUGGCACAAUGACAUUUAAGGAUCUCAAACACGAGCCGACGUGCCGAGUAAUAUUUACAACGUAGCUUCUAGAAAUAAAAUAGCCCAGUGUGUGUAUUUUAUUUUGUAGUAAACAUCCCAAUCGCACAAACACUUGCCAUCUGCUUAAUAUUAUUUCUAGCACUACCUACAGUGUUUAGAUCAUUUUUGUCAAAAGAGUCCGCUAUGAGUGACCGUCCUGCUUUAUUUUGUGUACGUUGAAUAGAAAAAAUUUUCUUUCUUAAUGAUAUUAAUCGAUUGUGAUGUUUACUUUUGCAUUAAUUCCAUUCCUGCAUUCUAUUUGAGGGGCAGGCAUUUGCACGAGUGUUGUUCCAUGAAUAAUCAACAUUAUGAAUGACGAAUAUAAGGGAAAUCUGGAUAGGAGAAGUACUUCCUAAUUUCCUUAACCGAAUUAAAUCUUGGAGAUGAAUUGAUACAUGGGAAAGUUCGAUCUUCCAAUGAUUGUUUUCAUCCAUAUUUUUUUUGAUUUAUUUAUUUCCCAAGAAUACAUCUUCAAACUAGUUUUUUUUCUUUCCAUUUCCUUUCAAGUCCCCUAGUCAAUGGCAUUUAUAUUGCAAAAAGAUUAUUCAAUAUUCAAAUUUCAUUAAAGAGAGGUUACUAUAAGUCUUACAAGACGUAGGUAGUCUAUUGCUGUGGACUUUCCAUACAUUAGAAGUCAACUAUAUCUGCCUAAAAACUAAUAAUUAGUGCAAAAAACUAACUGCCUAUCAACAAUACAUCCACAACUGUUGAUAAUUGUUAUUGUUUUGAUCAAGACUUAAUGAAGGGGCUUAGAAGGAAGAAAAUUAAAAGAAAAAAAAGAUAGAAACCUGCUGUUUCAAGAAAGAAAUAUAGAGACAAGAAGUGACGGGUGAACCUAUUGUCUUUACGAGGAAAAACAAUCUUAUUCCCGAUGAAAGUUGUAUCAGUCAUGGAUCUUUAAAAAAAUCAAGGGUCCCUUUUCCAUCAAUUUUAUCUCGUUCAAGAAAAAAAAAUCAACGUUGCUGAAAAGAUUUGUAUAGUCCGACUAUGUAAAUACAAGCAAACCUCUUCCAUUAUUUUCUUUUAGUUCAUCCUUUUCUUCUUGUAGUAUGUAUGCGUGAGAAUGCGAGUGUGCUUUUUUAAUGAAAUAGAAAAAGACGCCCAACGACUGAAAUUUUAAACUCAAAAUAUACCUCAGGUUGCAGUUGCGAACCCAAAUUAAUAUUUCUUUUCUGUUUAAUUAACUUUCCUUUCUACUUCUGCCCUCUAGUAUUAUAUCGAUUAUUGCGGCGUUAACAUGUAUUUAAAGCGAUAUAUUGAGCUACAACGAUGAACAGUGCGAGGGACAAAUCACAGAGUUCUCUCCCUUCUGCACAUGACUUAACAACAAUUCGAAAAAAGUUCGAACAUAUUGAAUGACUUAUGGACUAAACGAAUAAAAAACUAAUUUCUGUAUUGAGACAAUUUGUAUUGGAAAAAAGGCUCGAUAAUAUUAUAUCUUCGAUAUCACUCAAACAUGUCUGUUCUCUCAUAAGGGUGACAAUUUUGACAUUAAUUCAUGAUUCCACCAGGUGUAUACUAAAGUUGAAUUGAAUUGUAAACAUGGACUUUAAUUUUUUAAUUGCGACAUUAUCAAUGUAGUGAUUAAUUAAUAAUAGAAAUGUGAAACGUAAGAGGUAGGGCCAUGAAGAAUCAGUAGGUAGAUUCCAUCGCUCAAAUAAAGGAAAUCUGUUCAAUAA